UGUGUGUGUGGCGGGAGCUCCUUGGAGCGACAGGAACCCAGGUCUAGCACCCCGGCCCCAGGAGCAGCUGGUGCCUUCCCCAGGACCUGAGGGGAAAACAGCCAUCAAAGUGCUCUGUCACCGCCACAGUGCUCAUGCUCAUGCUCACAGGGCCCUGGUUUAGGAAGCAGCCUACACAUCUGAACUCCUCUUCCAGAUGCAGCAACAGAAGCACAGAGAGGCUGAGCAUCGAAGUGCCUUCUUCCCUGCCACAUCAUUUUAAUUCCAAAAGGAACUGAACUGUGCAAGGAACCUAAGAGCAUCCCCAUUUUGCAGACCGCACCAUUAAGGCCUGGAGGCCAAGGGCAUUUCUUGGCCAGCACGCCCCUCUGGAGGACUGGAUGGGCCAUCAAGUCUACACAUCAACCCCCCCAUCCCCUGAGCUCCUUUGUCACUUCCCCUCCGGCCCUCAGAGCCACCACUGGAAAGAUUUUGUCUUUCUAAACGGAGUUUAGAGAUCACCCACUUGUUCUCUCUCAUUGGGUCCAGCAGCUAAUUGGGGCCUUUGAUGGACGUGAGGCAAGCUGGGGGUUGUGGGCUGGGUGC